rnacentral:rRNA from 1 species
GAUGAACGCUGGCGGCGUGCCUAAUACAUGCAAGUCGAACGAGGUGCUUUUGUAGCAAUACGAAAGUAUCCUAGUGGCGAACGGGUGAGUAACGCGUUGGUGACCUACCCCAAAGUGUGGGAUAACAGUUCGAAAGAACUGCUAAUACCGCAUGUGGUUAUCGGGUUUAGAAACUGAUAACUAAAGGAGCAAUUCGCUUUGGGAGGGACCUGCGUCCCAUCAGCUAGUUGGUGAGGUAACGGCUCACCAAGGCUACGACGGGUAGGGGACCUGAGAGGGUGGCCCCCCCANAAUGGAACUGAAACACGGUCCAUACACCUACGGGUGGCAGCAGUA